rnacentral:tRNA from 1 species
UAAGUAUCACAUCAGAUUGCAAAUUUGAAGAAGUUCCGUUUAGGUUCCAGGGCUU